AUACGGAGGAUCCGAGCGUUAUCCGGAUUUAUUGGGUUUAAAGGGUGCGCAGGCGGCCAUUUAAGUCAGCGGUUAAAUCGUGGGGCUCAACCCCAUUCUGCCGUUGAUACUGGGUGGCUUGAUUGCGGUCGAGGUUGGCGGAAUUCGUUGUGUAGCGGUGAAAUGCAUAGAUAUGACGAAGAACACCGAUUGCGUAGGCAGCUGACCAGACCGCAAAUGACGCUCAUGCACGAAAGUGCGGGGAUCGAACAGGAUUAGAUACCCUGGUUGUCCGCACAGUAAACGAUGAAUACUUGUUUUCGGCGAUAUAAUGUCGGAGGCAAAGCGAAAGCGAUAAGUAUUCCACCUGGGGAGUACGCCGGCAACGGUGAAACUCAAAGGAAUUGACGGGG
rnacentral:rRNA from 1 species